rnacentral:rRNA from 1 species
UACGUAGGGCGCAAGCGUUAUCCGGAAUUAUUGGGCGUAAAGAGCUCGUAGGCGGUUUGUCGCGUCUGCCGUGAAAGUCCGGGGCUCAACCCUGGACCUGCAUUCGAUACGGGCAGACUAGAGUUCGGUAGGGGAGACUGGAAUUCCUGGUGUAGCGGUGAAAUGCGCAGAUAUCAGGAGGAACACCGGUGGCGAAGGCGGUUCUCUGGGAAUGUCCUGACGCUGAGGAGCGAAAGUGUGGGGAGCGAACAGG